GGGGGAAAUCUUCCCUCAGCAAACAUUUCUCUUCUUCUGGCUAGACAACGACGCAACAACCAAACACACGACCUCACUCCAUCUCUCAUAAUAACCAGCAGCAGAACACAAACAACACACUCCAUCAAUUCAUCUGUUUCCACAACAGCAGCCGCAGAUCUCUCUUUUAUUUUGAAAAGAAAAUUAGUCCUGGUUCAGUCCAUUUUCGAGUUCGUUGCCAAUCGAGAUUGUUCGACGUUGAUUCCGAUUCAAACCCUACCGCCUACUCGAGGUUGAUUCUGUUUUAAAUUCAAGGUGGUCCGUCGAGGUCUUCGUACGUGGUCUUAGAGAUUCAAACGAAUUGUUGAUAUACAU
rnacentral:lncRNA from 1 species